rnacentral:rRNA from 1 species
GCAAGUCGAGCGACAGACGAGGAGCUUGCUCCUCUGACGUUAGCGGCGGACGGGUGAGUAACACGUGGAUAACCUACCUAUAAGACUGGGAUAACUUCGGGAAACCGGAGCUAAUACCGGAUAAUAUAUUGAACCGCAUGGUUCAAUAGUGAAAGACGGUUUUGCUGUCACUUAUAGAUGGAUCCGCGCCGCAUUAGCUAGUUGGUAAGGUAACGGCUUACCAAGGCAACGAUGCGUAGCCGACCUGAGAGGGUGAUCGGCCACACUGGAACUGAGACACGGUCCAGACUCCUACGGGAGGCAGCAGUAGGGAAUCUUCCGCAAUGGGCGAAAGCCUGACGGAGCAACGCCGCGUGAGUGAUGAAGGUCUUCGGAUCGUAAAACUCUGUUAUUAGGGAAGAACAAAUGUGUAAGUAACUAUGCACGUCUUGACGGUACCUAAUCAGAAAGCCACGGCUAACUACGUGCCAGCAGCCGCGGUAAUACGUAGGUGGCAAGCGUUAUCCGGAAUUAUUGGGCGUAAAGCGCGCGUAGGCGGUUUUUUAAGUCUGAUGUGAAAGCCCACGGCUCAACCGUGGAGGGUCAUUGGAACUGGAAAACUUGAGUGCAGAAGAGGAAAGUGGAAUUCCAUGUGUAGCGGUGAAAUGCGCAGAGAUAUGGAGGAACACCAGUGGCGAAAGCGACUUUCUGGUCUGUAACUGACGCUGAUGUGCGAAAGCGUGGGGAUCAAACAGGAUUAGAUACCCUGGUAGUCCACGCCGU